AGCUUUGUGCAGUGGCAAUAUUGCAGCCAAUAAGGUUUAUCCGAGGUGCAAUUAUUGCUAAUCAAA
rfam:Nomascus leucogenys chromosome 9, whole genome shotgun sequence.